rnacentral:lncRNA from 1 species
AACAACAACAACAACAACAACAACAACAACAACAACAACAACAGCAACAACAAUAACAACAACAACAACAACAACAACAACAACCACAACAACAACAACAACNNNNNNNNNNUGACAAGGACAACAACAACAGUAACAACAACAACAACAACAACAACAACAACAACAACAAUAACAACAACCACAACAACAACAACAACACAACGAUAACAAGAAAAACAACAACGACAACAACAACAACACAACAACAACAACAACAAAAACAACAACAAUAAUAACAACAACAAUAAUAACAAC